CUUCUCUGCAUUUCCUUACCAGACAAUGGACAUAACAGACUCACGUCACAAGGUCAUUGUGAAGGUCAAAUGAGAUUUUGGCUGUGAGUAGGAUUUGUAAAUGCUAAAGUUUGGAAAGUCAGGGUUUGUUAUUCUUAUUACAUUGUUUCCUUGAUUCAGGUCAAAUCCUGUCAUUAGCAGCCCCAAACCUAGAUAGGAGUCCUGGCCAAGUUUAAGGGGUGGCUGACUUCUGAGCAAUACCCAAGACGGUAGAAACAUGGCCCCGCCCCGAACUGGGGUUCAGAAUUGGAGGUACUUUGGUUGGUCCCUAAAUCCUACCAUCCCCACUUCUCCACUACCUUUUGCUUUCGCCCCUGCUCCCAUCUGUGCUGGCUGGCUAUCUUUACCAUUUCCGUGCCCCUUGACAGAAGCUGUGUGACAAAUUUAUGGCCAAGACAGGGCGUGUUCAUCAAAUGUUCACACACUCUUGGUUGGGGGUGGUGGUGGUCAAUGAAAUGUAGGCAGAAAUGACAUGUGUCUCUUCUAGGCAGAGGCCGUUAAGAGCUAGUGUUCCCUUGUCCCCUGUUGGAUGCCAUCUCUAAGGUAGAGGAAGGCUACUUGACUCACAGUGGUCUUUGUGACAUGAACAGAAGUGAAUCUUAAUUGUAAUAAGCCCCUGAGAUUUGGGGGUUAAUGGGUGAAGCGAUGUAGCCUAGCACUGCCCCCUCCAUUUCCUGCCAUUGGUCCACACAGAGGAGAGGAGGGAGGACCCUAUUCCCACAGAGUGAGCGAAGAGGGGAUUGUCCAGACCCCGCAGCUACCAAGCCAGGUUGCAACGCCCUGCUCCUGGCCUGAAACCCAGGCUUCCGGCCAGUUCCAGGCUCUUCCCUGCUGGGCCUGCAGAGAACAGGCUGCCCACUCCCGAGAAAAGGUCAGAGAAUUUUUUUUUUUCUGUGGCGGACACCGGACCCCCGGUUUCCCUAAUGGGUGGUGGGAGGGGAGGCUGAGCACCCUCCCUUGAGCUCCCCUUACUCCUCACCCUUUCAGGCCCUGAGCUCCACUGCUCCAGCAAGAGAGAGAGAAACCGGAGGGGAAGCCGAGCUCGAGCUCCUGCACUUCCUCUCUGAGCUGGAAGCUGCGCUGGCCAGCGUUCAAGACUUAAUUAGCUGCAAUAACUGAAUAAUCAUCUUUAAGAUGAUAGUGGUAAAGCUCACGAGCAUCCCGUCGCCAGCUUGACUGUGCCA
rnacentral:lncRNA from 1 species